rnacentral:rRNA from 1 species
GACGAACCGUGCGAACGUUGUUCGGAAUCACUGGGCUUAAAGGGCGCGUAGGCGGGCUGCCAAGUCUGGGGUGAAAUCCCACGGCUCAACCGUGGAACUGCCUCGGAUACUGGCGGCCUCGAGGGAGGUAGGGGCGUGCGGAACUGUGGGUGGAGCGGUGAAAUGCGUUGAUAUCAGGAAGAACAUCGGUGGCGAAGGCGCUCUGCUGGACCAUAACUGACACUCAGGGACGAAAGCUAGGGGAGCGAAUGGG